rnacentral:rRNA from 1 species
AGCGAACGCUGGCGGCAGGCCUAACACAUGCAAGUCGAACGAACCUUUCGGGGUUAGUGGCGGACGGGUGAGUAACACGUGGGAACGUGCCUUUAGGUUCGGAAUAAAUCAGGGAAACUUGUGCUAAUACCGAAUGUGCCCUUCGGGGGAAAGAUUAAUCGCGUUUAGAGCGGACCGCGUCUGAUUAGCUAGUUGGUUGAGGUAAUGGCUCACCAAGGCGACGGUCAGUACCUGGUCUGUGAGGAUGACCGGCCACAUUGGGACUGCGACACGGCCUAUACAUCUACGGGAGGCAGCAGUAGUGUAUCUUGCGCAAUGGGCGAAUGGCUGACGCAGCCAUGUCGCGUGAAUGAUGAAGGUCUUGCUAUUGUUUAUUUCUUUCACCGGGUACGAUGAUGACGUUACCCUGAGAAGAAGCCCCGGCUAACUUCGUG